UAGGGAAUCUUCGGCAAUGGGGGGAACCCUGACCGAGCAACGCCGCGUGAGUGAAGAAGGUUUUCGGAUCGUAAAGCUCUGUUGUUAAGGAAGAACGAGUGUGAGAAUGGAAAGUUCAUGCUGUGACGGUACUUAACCAGAAAGGGACGGCUAACUACGUGCCAGCAGCCGCGGUAAUACGUAGGUCCCGAGCGUUGUCCGGAUUUAUUGGGCGUAAAGCGAGCGCAGGCGGUUAGAAAAGUCUGAAGUGAAAGGCAGUGGCUCAACCAUUGUAGGCUUUGGAAACUGUUUAACUUGAGUGCAGAAGGGGAGAGUGGAAUUCCAUGUGUAGCGGUGAAAUGCGUAGAUAUAUGGAGGAACACCGGUGGCGAAAGUGGCUCUCUGGUCUGUAACUGACGCUGAGGCUCGAAAGCGUGGGGAGCGAACAGG
rnacentral:rRNA from 1 species